rnacentral:rRNA from 1 species
GAUGAACGCUGGCGGCGUGCCUAAUACAUGCAAGUCGAACGCUUUGUCUUUAAUUGAUCUGCAGAGCUUGCUCUGAUUUGUUUUUAUCUGACAAAGAGUGGCGAACGGGUGAGUAACUCGUGGGUAACCUACCUCUUAGCAGGGGAUAACAUCUGGAAACAAGUGCUAAUACCGAUAACACUAACAACCGCAUGGUUGUUAGUUGAAAGAUGGUUCUGCUAUCUCUUAGAGUUGGACCCGCGGUGCAUUAGCUAGUUGGUAAGGUAAUGGCUUACUAAGGCGAUGAUGCGUAGCCGAGUUGAGAGACUGAUCGGCCACAAUGGGACUGAGACGCGGCCCAUACUCCUACGGGAGGCAGCAGUAGGGAAUCUUCCACAAUGGGCGCAAGCCUGAUGGAGCAACGCCGCGUGUGUGAUGAAGGGUUUCGGCUCGUAAAACACUGUUAUAAGAGAAGAACGACAUUGGGAGUAACUGUGCAGUGUGUGACGGUAUCUGAUCAGAAAGGAACGGCUAAAUACGUG